CAGCCCUGCCUGGCAUUGAUCAACCAAUUUUCCUAAAUGAAUAGCUGCACUGGAAGCUGCAGACAAAUAUCAUCAUUUGUUCAACUAAUUGUAAAAAAGUCACUAAAGAAGAAAGAAGAUUAGGAAACUAACUUCCCUCAGAGUACAGAUGAAGUGAUGAGCAGGUUUCCAUUGUGUGUGUGUGUGUGUGUGUGUGUGUGUGUGUGCAGCUGAAGACCCCGUGCUGUGAAAACAUGUCCAGGUCCCAGUACCAAAGGAGAGAGGGGAAAUCAGGAGUUGCAAUCUGGGGAGGAAGAACACACAGACUAAGAGUCUUACUCCCACUGCUUUCAAGAUAUUUCUGGCAGACAUCAUUUCUACAGGACUUACCAGAACUUUUGUAUAUUGAUCAGAUGAAACGUGGAAGAGGCUGUGAUGAAUGAUAUAAGAAGUUGACAGAAAGGAAAUGAAAGGAUGCCUUAUUAAUGAAGCCAACUCAGUCCUGCCUGCCGCUACCACAGCUUUUGCAUUGCUGACAGACUUUACACUGGUAUAAUUUUAACCUGUUAAUUGUGUCCUAAACCUUGUCGCUAACCAUCUGUGCUAAUAGUUUUUGCUCUCUGUUUCUACAUUAGAAAGUGCUAUUUUCAAAUAUCUCUUUCCUUGUAAAAUUAGAGUGUUAAAAAAAUACAUGAGUGCUUGAGCUCUGUUACCCAAAAUAUUCCCUCACAUAUCUUUCUUUGGAAGCUAUUCUUUUUCGUUGUCAACAUUCAGAUCUACUUUUAUAUUGCAAUAAAGGAAAAG